rnacentral:lncRNA from 1 species
UUUGAAGUAGGGGCAAACUAUCUAUUCUUCAAAGUACCAUGGAUUAAAACUUGAUCAUCCAAUGGUAGGUUUGAAGUAUGGAAGGUUUUAGUCAACCACAAACCAAAUAAGUCAUGACCCAAGUAGAUUUCAUUAGUCCACAAGUUCAAGACUUCAUAAGUCCACCAAAAAUAAUUUAAAUGACUUGAUAUAAAAUAAAA